rnacentral:misc_RNA from 1 species
CAGGAGCGGGGGAACCGUGUGGUUCACUAUUUCCUGAAGGACUCUGCUGGGGAAUCUAUUCUUGCUGUUGUGGGCACUGAGAGGAGUGUUAGGCACAUGUUCUAUGUUGUAGCUGAGGAGUUUGUACAGGCCUAUGGUGCGGACAAUUCAAUUCAUGCUGGUUUCAAAUGGAGGUCAAGGAGGGAGGUUGUGGAUUGGCUUAC